rnacentral:rRNA from 1 species
UGAAAGCAUGGUUUUGCUAUCACUUAUAGAUGGACCCGCGCCGUAUUAGCUAGUUGGUAAGGUAGCGGCUUACCAAGGCAACGAUACGUAGCCGACCUGAGAGGGUGAUCGGCCACACUGGAACUGAGACACGGUCCAGACUCCUACGGGAGGCAGCAGUAGGGAAUCUUCCGCAAUGGGCGAAAGCCUGACGGAGCAACGCCGCGUGAGUGAUGAAGGGUUUCGGCUCGUAAAACUCCUGUUAUUAGGGAAGAACAAAUGUGUAAGUAACUGUGCACAUCCUUGACGGUACCUAAUCAGAAAGCCACGGNC